rnacentral:rRNA from 1 species
AGUCACUGACAUUAGAUACCCCGGUAGUCCAGGGUGUAAACGCUGCAGACUUGGUGUUGGAGGCCCUUUGGGGGCAUUCAGUGCCGGAGAGAAGUUGUUAAGUCUGCUACUUGGGGAGUACGUCCGCAAGGAUGAAGCUUAAAGGAAUUGGCGGGGGAGCACCGCAACGGGAGGAGCGUGCGGUUUAAUUGGAUUCAACACCGUAAAACUCACCAGGGAAGACUGUUACAUGAAGGCCGAGAUGAAGACUCUGCUAGAUUUUCAG